ACAACGCUGUUUGCCCUUCCAGAUCCUUUUUUUCACCUUUCUCCAUCCUGCUGUCUGCCCCAGAAAGACAACUUUGCCCUCUGGCUUUUAUUAUGUUUGCCCUGUGGAGACCCCAUAAGAAAUUUGUAGAAGGGAGAAGAGUAAGUUUGAAUCCUUUAUUCCACUGGCCUUCUGCAUAACUUAGCUGUGUCCUUUCACUGAAAGCCAUAGCUCGUCUUAAAAUGGCCCCUUUUAUAGGACUUUCCCUUUUGAAGUUACCUUCCUUUAUCCUUUUGGGCACAAGGGUGAUGAUAGCUGCCCAUGGUGGGAUUAUUAUCAUAUCCAGACCUUUGUAAAUAGUCCUUUUAUUAAACUCCUUGACUUCCUGUAAGUUGAGUGUGCCAGAUGUUUCCUGCUUGGCCUCUACUAGAAGGGAUCAUGGAGAUCAUUUUCUCCAAUUCCCUCAUUCUAAAGAGGAGUAAACGAAGACCACAAAAGUGGACAUGACUUGCCUAGAGCCACAUCUUAACGCAGUAGUGUUAUUCUUUCUGUUCGAUGUGGUCCUUAUGGUGGUGUUGGCGGUGUCUGAGGUGUGGAGGAGUUAAUAAAAUAUGUGGAUCUUUAACUAAGUAUUGUAGUUCCCUUUAACCUAAUCGAGGCCAGAAAUACACCAACACCCUCAGAAGAGACCGAUCCUUCCCAGGAAAGAAUAUAGAGAUUUCUAUCAUGGGAAGAGAUAAAGUGCUUGGGAGAGUAUAUCACCUUUGCCCUGUAUUCACAGUGCUCAGCAUGUGCCUCUGUCAUUCUGCUAAUCUCAUAUUUAUGUUGCAUUUAUUUACUAGGGGAAGUUUCUCAAAUUAUACAUAACAAAACCCUCCCACCCUGAGAUUCAGAAUCUGUUCUUAUCCCCUGCCAAGCAUCACUGCAGCCCUCCUACCUGUGGUAACUCAUUUGGAUCAGAGCACUGUGGAGAGGGAAGUGCCUGCAUAGGUGGCUGCCUCUGGACAAAGCAUCAUGGGGGAAUGGAGGUGCUACUUUCUGAUGAAGCAUUGGGAGCACCAUGUGAAAUGCACCUGUCCAUCCUGUUGUCACUGGACUUUCUGGUGAAGCACCUGGCCAGCCCGUUGCCAUUGGAUAUCUCCAUAAGUAUUUCUCAAUAAAUCUUAUUUUUUAUGUCUCA